AAGGAUCAUUAUAGAGUUCUGCCCUCUGGGGUAGACCUCCCACCCUUGAAUCUCAAACCUUUGUUGCUUUGGUAGCUGGCCUUCGGGCUGUUAUAGCUGCCAGAGGACCAAAACUCUGUGUUUAGUGAUGUCUGAGUACUAUAUAAUAGUUAAAACUUUCAACAACGGAUCUCUUGGUUCUGGCAUCGAUGAAGAACGCAGCGAAAUGCGAUAAGUAAUGUGAAUUGCAGAAUUCAGUGAAUCAUCGAAUCUUUGAACGCACAUUGCACCCCUUGGUAUUCCGAGGGGUAUGCCUGUUCGAGCGUCAUUAACACCAACAAGCCUAGCUUGGUAUCGCGGUUCGCUGCUUAGCGGCCCCUAAAAUCAGUGGCGGUGCCUAUAGAGCUCUAAGCGUAGUAAUUAUCCUCGCUUUUGGGCCCUCUAUAGAAGCUUGCCAAUAACCUCAACUUUUUAAGGUUUGACCUCGGAUCAGGUAGGGAUACCCGCUGAACUUAA
rnacentral:rRNA from 1 species